UGAGCAAUCUGCCCUUCUCAUCGGAAUAAGCGUGGGAAACGACGUCUAAUGCCGAAUACGACCUCCGUUCACAUGAUCGGAGGUGGAAAGCUCCGGCGGAGAAGGAUGAGCUCGCGGCCUAUCAGCUAGUUGGUGUGGGUAACGGCCCACCAAGGCGACGACGGGUAGCCGGCCUGAGAGGGUGACCGGCCACACUGGGACUGAGACACGGCCCAGACCUCCGUACGGGAGG
rnacentral:rRNA from 1 species